UACGAAGGGUGCAAGCGUUACUCGGAAUUACUGGGCGUAAAGCGUGCGUAGGUGGUUUUUUAAGUCCGUUGUGAAAGCCCUGGGCUCAACCUGGGAAUGGCAGUGGAUACUGGAAAGCUAGAGUGCGGUAGAGGGUAGUGGAAUUCCCGGUGUAGCAGUGAAAUGCGUAGAGAUCGGGAGGAACACCAGUGGCGAAGGCGGCUACCUGGACCAGCACUGACACUGAGGCACGAAAGCGUGGGAGCAAACAGG
rnacentral:rRNA from 1 species